CUAAGGUAGCGAAAUUCCUUGUCGGGUAAGUUCCGACCCGCACGAAAGGCGUAAUGAUUUGGAUACUGUCUCGGAGAGGGGCUCGGUGAAAUAGACUUGUCUGUGAAGAUGCGGACUACCUGCACCUGGACAGAAAGACCCUAUGAAGCUUUACUGUAACUUGAAAUUGAAAUUGGACUUUAUUUGCGCAGCAUAGGUGGGAGGCAUUGAGUUUAUUCUUGCGGGAAUUUAGGAGCCAUCAGUGAGAUACCACUCUGGUAAUGUUAGAUUUCUAACUUUGUAUCAUGAUCUGGUCAAAGAACAGUUUCAGGCGGGCAGUUUGACUGGGGCGGUCGCCUCCCAAAUGGUAACGGAGGCGUACAAAGGUUUCCUCUGAACGUGUAGAAAUCGUAUCUAGAGUGUAAAGGCAUAAGGAAGCUUGACUGUGAGACCUACAAGUCGAGCAGGGACGAAAGUCGGUCUUAGUGAUCUGACGGUGCUGAGUGGAAAGGCCGUCACUCAACGGAUAAAAGUUACUCUAGGGAUAACAGGCUGAUCUCCCCCAAGAGUUCACAUCGACGGGGAGGUUUGGCACCUCGAUGUCGGCUCAUCUCAUCCUGGGGCUGGAGCAGGUCCCAAGGGU
rnacentral:rRNA from 1 species